UGUCUAGAUAGCUCAGUAGGUAGAGCAUAGAAUUGAAAAUUCUUGCGUCAUGGGUUCAAAUCCCAUUCUAGACAU
rnacentral:tRNA from 1 species